rnacentral:rRNA from 1 species
UCGACUGUUUUACAAAAACAUUUCUUUUUGUUUUUUUAAAAAGUAAAACCUGCCCACUGAUUUUUAAAGGGCCGCGGUAUUAUGACCGUGCUAAGGUAGCAUAAUCAUUAGUCUCCUAAUUAGGGAAUUGUAUGAAUGGUUAAACUUAGAGAUAUUUUGUUUUUAUUAAAUUUUUAAUUUUAAUUUUAUUUGAAAAUGAAUAAAUUUUUCUAUUAGACGAUAAGACCCUAUAGAGCUUAAUAUUUUUGUGUUAUAUAUUUUAUGGGGGUAGAACAUAUAAUAUAAAAAUAUUUAGUUGGGGCAACUAAAGAAUAAAUAAAACUUCUUUUUAUAAAAAAUCCUUAAUUUUUGAAUUAAAAAAGUUACCUUAGGGAUAACAGCGUAAUGAUUAUUAAGAGUUCUUAUCGACAUAAUUGUUUGCGACCUCGAUGUUGAAUUAAAAUUUCUUUAAGGAGCAGUAUUUUUAUAAGGUGGUCUGUUCGACCAUUAAAUUUUUACAUGAUUUGAGUCCAGACCAGA